GGAUGAGCUGUGGGUAGGGGUGAAAGGCCAAUCAAACUCCGUGAUAGCUGGUUCUCCCCGAAAUGCAUUUAGGUGCAGCGUCGCGUAGGUGUGCCGGAGGUAGAGCUACUGGUUGGUUGAGCGGGACUAUCAUCUUAGCAAUGUCAGCCAAACUCCGAAUGCCGGUUAAACAUUGUUGCGCGGCAGUGAGACUGUGGGGGAUAAGCUUCAUAGUCGAGAGGGAAACAGCCCAGAUCGCCGGUUAAGGCCCCUAAGGGUGUGCUAAGUGGAAAAGGAUGUGGGAUCGCGAAGACAGCCAGGAGGUUGGCUUAGAAGCAGCCAUCCUUGAAAGAGUGCGUAAUAGCUCACUGGUCGAGUGGUCCUGCGCCGACAAUGUAGUG
rnacentral:rRNA from 1 species